rnacentral:rRNA from 1 species
AACGAACGCUGGCGGCAUGCCUAACACAUGCAAGUCGAACGAGACCUUCGGGUCUAGUGGCGCACGGGUGCGUAACGCGUGGGAACCUGCCCUUAGGUUCGGAAUCACUCCCCGAAGGGGGUGCUAAUACCGGUUAAUGUCUUCGGACCAAAGAUUUAUCGCCUUUGGAUGGGCCCGCGUUGGAUUAGCUAGUUGGUAGGGUAAAAGCCUACCAAGGCGACGAUCCAUAGCUGGUCUGAGAGGAGGAUCAGCCACACUGGGACUGAGACACGGCCCAGACUCCUACGGGAGGCAGCAGUGGGGAAUAUUGGACAAUGGGCGAAAGUCUGAUCCAGCAAUGCCGCGUGAGUGAUGAAGGCCUUAGGGUUGUAAAGCUGUUUUACCCGGGAUGAUAAUGACAGUACCGGGAGAAUAAGCUCCGGCUAACUCCGUG